GACGAACGCUGGCGGCGUGCCUAAUACAUGCAAGUUGAGCGAUGAAGAUUGGUGCUUGCACCAAUUUGAAGAGCAGCGAACGGGUGAGUAACGCGUGGGGAAUCUGCCUUUGAGCGGGGGACAACAUUUGGAAACGAAUGCUAAUACCGCAUAACAACUUUAAACAUAAGUUUUAAGUUUGAAAGAUGCAAUUGCAUCACUCAAAGAUGAUCCCGCGUUGUAUUAGCUAGUUGGUGAGGUAAAGGCUCACCAAGGCGAUGAUACAUAGCCGACCUGAGAGGGUGGUCGGCCACAUUGGGACUGAGACACGGCCCAAACUCCUACGGGAGGCAGCAGUAGGGAAUCUUCGGCAAUGGACGAAAGUCUGACCGAGCAACGCCGCGUGAGUGAAGAAGGUUUUCGGAUCGGAAAACUCUGUUGGCAGAGAAGAACGUUGGUGAGAGUGGAAAGCUCAUCAAGUGACGGUAACUACCCAGAAAGGGACGGCUAACUACGUG
rnacentral:rRNA from 1 species